rnacentral:lncRNA from 1 species
GUGUCUUUCUCUUUUUAUUUGCUUUAAAAAAAGUAAUUUUGCUGCUCUCGGUUUUCAAAAAAGAGGAGAGGAAUUCCUUUUCUCCUGCUUUGUGUUUAUCCAAUUACCCAACACCUGCAGAAUACACUCAUUUGCCAAAUCCUCCCGUCCUCCUCCUCCUCUUGCUCCCUCUAUCAUCCUCCCUUUAAAAAUGGUUUUGCGGAGAAAUGGAAUAAUCUGUCAGACUGUUAACGUGGGUCCGGUUACACACCUGCCAAGUCUUAAGCUGAAAGAAUAACACCAAACUGUUUUGAGGUAUUUGAGAAUGGAUUAGAGAGAAUUCAGGUACAAAUCCAGAAACGCACCAAAAUCCGGAGCCCUGUGUUGUGUGAUUCAUUGUGUGCUUUGCCUUAUACGCUUUCAAGAUGUUUAAAGUUUAUAUUAAACUCGGCUGGCGUCUGAGUUUUUCGGCGGAAGAUGAAAAGGUGUCACCGUAUCCUCCGAUAACUUCUGUCCAUUGUGUUUUGUUUCACAGGAAGUCAUUGAUAUGAUGGAUAGCACUGUACGAGCUUUCAGAACGGCAGAUUUACGGAAAAAAUAUGUCUCUGUGACUGUUUCAGCUCACCAAGACAUAAACCCUUCUGCUGGACAUCUUUUAUCCUGAGCUGUAUCCUGAAUUUUGUCGUGAGAAAAUGGGGCGAUCACUCAAAACAGAAGUUCAUGCUUCUACUGAAGGACAAAAACCAGAACGAGCCCAGCACACCUUGUAGGCCUCUGUUUGACUUCCUGUUUAAUGUUCAGCCGACAGGUGAUACUAUUCAAAGUUUUCGAAGGCUUUGACAUAAUCCUCCAAACUGAGGGGAGAAUGUCACAAGAGCAACAUUUCUGUGAUGCAGAAUAAAAGACGCUAUGCUGAUGUUUCCCUUUUGAGACUUCCCUGUCGUUUAAAGCCCUUGAACUAAACCAGCGGUAUUUCCUCUGAUGAGGAGCAGUGGGGACAGGUCCGCCUCGACAGUGGCUAUUUAUAGUCCAGCAGGAGAAGAGCGCUGAGAUGACUCAAAAUUAGGGAAGCGGCCAACAUUCUGAUCAAACCAGAGGAAAUCCAAAACCAUCUCGAGCAUGUCCAUAACUGGAGCGACCAUUUGCCUGGGGAACGGCCUUUUAAAAUUACAAAGCACAGAAUAAGAAACAGGCAACACAGAUGCCAGGUCUUCAGCCGGCAGCCGUACUGCUAGUAGCCAACGGGGCUUCUCUGUUUGUGUAUUUCUUGAAGGGCAAUUAUCACUAAGCAGUGCUGAUUACAGAGAAGCCUUUAUUCCUUUCUGGAAGAGACAGCAUCAAUAUUUUCCUGCACCUACUCCAGGUAAUAACUGAAGAGUUUAGUCUGGUAGCAUUUGGACAGCUAUUAGAAUAAUGGAAAAGUAUUAGCCAUUAGUUGAAUGGCUAAUCAGUAGCCAGACGUGUAGCAUUCAGAUGUGGUACUGAUCCAGAUCAAAUUUUACCAUCUAAAAUUAGCCAAAACAAACAAAAGGCAGCACAAAAUAGCUUUUGACUAAUAAUGUUUAAUAAGUAAGUAUUUCAAUAUUUUGCAACAGGAAAGAACAUUUGUUUAUUUGAUUAUUAUGAUUUUAAUUUUUUCUGUGAGUUAAAAUCUAAAAUUAGAUAUCUUUAAUAUAAUGAUUGUUUCUCCUAAAAAUGUCACUUUUUUAUUGUAGGACAAAAUGAUCUGUUUUUUUAUUUUUUAUUUUUUUUAUUUCUCCUUAGAAAUUGUAGGAGAAGCAUCUGAGACAACUCUGAAAGAGCACAUUUUUCUUGGGCCUUCCAUUAUCUUUAUGAAGUUUGGAUGAGCUUUAAGUCAAAACUUUUAUCUCAUGCAGUCUGUUUCCCAAAGCAUGUUGACUCCACAGGUCCCUAUUUACUUUAUUGAGGGGUGAAGAUGACCCCAGGUCAAACCCACCCAAACAUCUGAACUUAGAUUAGAACGACUGAUACAGCCGCACUUUAUGGGACGUCCUGAGAACACUUUCCCAACUCUGCCCCCACCUUACAAAUCACUGUCUCCACUCAAGCAGCAGAAAUAAGGCUCGGCUUCCUGUGCUGCCGUCCCAGAGGCCUUUCUCCUGAAACAAAUGUUUCCCCCUCAAAAAUAGCAUUUGUUUGUAUCGGGUGUCUGAUGGAAGAAGAUGUUCAUACGGUCUCUUCUCAGAACUCAUUACUGUGAACAACAUCACCUGCACCACAAAAAGAGGUAAAUCAAAAAAUCAAAAAGAAGCCAAAGAAAUACUGAAGCCAAAUCUUCAUUAGUAAUUUUUUUAGCAAAGCUGAUUUGUUAACAAUAGAAAGCUGGUUUUCAUAUACAGCAAGAGAACAGCAGUGACUGUUCAUUAAAACCUGUCAGCAAUUCAAGUAUAUAAUCAGAGCAUAAAUAUACAUGGAGAACUUGCCUCAUAAAGAGUUUAAUUCGACUUUCCAGUUACACAAAUGUUUAGUGCUAGAUUUCACGUAUUCAUUAGUGCAAUUGUUUACAAGAAAAUCUUAUAAUAAGCUGUUUAGCACCAGGUUCUGAGUUUCUUGAUACAUUAGAAAAUGUUGUCACACAAGAAAGUCUCUGAGAAAUUUAAGGGGGGUUUGUAACUUUAAGGGGGGGGGUAUAAAGGAUAAGAUAAAAUAUUAAGAUAUUUUUCCACUUUAUGAUGUUUAUCAGUAUGUUUGUAAAGAAUGGG